rnacentral:rRNA from 1 species
UUGACCUCGGAUCAGGUAGGGAUACCCGCUGAACUUAAGCAUAUCAAUAAGCGGAGGAAAAGAAACCAACAGGGAUUGCCUCAGUAACGGCGAGUAA